rnacentral:lncRNA from 1 species
UCAGGACAGUCUUAUCUCUUUUUCUGCAUACAGCGUUUGCAAUAAGGAAGAAAAACGGGCACAGCUUCAUUAGGACUGGUGAAAUAGUCAUUAUGCACUAAAGGCAGGCGGGAAUCAAACCGCAUUCAUCUCAUCCUGAACCACAUGUGCCAUGGGAUGCUAGGCAAAAUCAAUGUCUUUGGUCUUGUUAAUAGUUGACCUUGGGCUUCCCAGAAAAACCUUCAAGAUCUGAGUUCAAAACUUUGCUGGAGAUUGACGGGUGGAAUAAGAUGUUCAAGUGAUGAACAUGAAGAG